UUUGGAGUAACUCAGUUGGUAGAGUCAUCCCGAUCCAUCGGGAUUGGUCGCGGGUUCGAGUCCCGUCUCCCGCU
rnacentral:tRNA from 1 species